rnacentral:rRNA from 1 species
GACGAACGCUGGCGGCGUGCUUAACACAUGCAAGUCGAACGGAAAGGCCCUGCUUUUGUGGGGUGCUCGAGUGGCGAACGGGUGAGUAACACGUGAGUAACAUGCCCUUGACUUUGGGAUAACUUCAGGAAACUGGGGCUAAUACCGGAUAGGAGCUCCUGCUGCAUGGUGGGGGUUGGAAAGUUUCGGCGGUUGGGGAUGGACUCGCGGCUUAUCAGCUUGUUGGUGGGGUAGUGGCUUACCAAGGUUUUGACGGGUAGCCGGCCUGAGAGGGUGACCGGCCACAUUGGGCCUGCGAUACGGCCCAGACUCCUACGGGAGGCAGCAGUGGGGAAUAUUGCACAAUGGGCGGAAGCCUGAUGCAGCAACGCCGCGUGCGUGAUGACGGCCUUCGGGUUGUAAACCGCUUUCGCCUGUGACGAAGCGUGAGUGACGGUAAUGGGUAAAGAAGCACCGGCUAACUACGUG